UACGGAAGGCAGCAGUGGGGAAUAUUGCACAAUGGGCGAAAGCCUGAUGCAGCUAUGCCGCGUGUAUGAAGAAGGCCUUAGGGUUGUAAAGUACUUUCAUCGGGGAGGAAAAAACAAAACUAAUAAUUUUAUUUCUUGACGUUACCCGAAAAAGAAGCACCGGCUAACUCCGUGCCAGCAGCCGCGGUAAUACGGAGGGUGCUAGCGUUAAUCAGAAUUACUGGGCGUAAAGAGCACGUAGGUGGUUUUUUUAAGUCAGAUGUGAAAUUCCCUGGGCUUAACCUAGGAACUGCAUUUUGAAACUGAAAUACUAGAGUAUCGUAGAGGGAGGUAGAAUUCUAGGUGUAGCGGUGAAAUGCGUAGAUAUCUGGAGGAAUACCUGUGGCGAAAGCGGCCUCCUAAACGAAUACUGACACUGAGGUGCGAAAGCGUGGGGAGCAAACAGGGAUUAGGAUACC
rnacentral:rRNA from 1 species